GAUAAAUAAAAAUUUCAAAAGAUUUCUUACAAUAAGACAAUAAAAUAAACAUUUAGGUAAAAAAACUCUAAAUUUUAAAAUUUUAAUUCGAGACCAUAUUAAAAAAUGGUUUGAUAGUCGAUACCCGUGGUUAAGUUCGAAAUCUAUUUACUUUAUAUUUUUAUCUAAAUUUAUUUUUUUUAAAAAAAAUGAACGAAACAAAUAGUAUACUAUUUUUUUCUCUCAAAAGGACUAUAUUAAAAAAUAUAACAAAAAAUUAUUAACAUUUCCGAAUAGCACUGUUUAUCGGAUUCUUUUAAAAAUAAAUCCUUAGAAAAUUAAUAAUUUGUAAAAUAAUCCUAUCAAAAUUUUAUUUGGUGAAAUAACUUUAUUUCACGCAACUCAGCAUCAAGAUGGAAGAAUAAUUAUAAAAUGAAUAAAAUUUAAAAAACGGUGAAUUGCUUAUCACUUUGUUUCUCACUGUCUUUAUCGUAGAUAGGAAAACUGUAAACAAUUUGCUCUUUUUUUUUUCUAUUUUCCGUAUAUAAUUCUAACAACUAUAUUAAAAUUUCAAAAAGUCACAUAUAAUCUAGACAAUCAAAAAAAUUUUAACAGUCUAUUCAUACAAUCAUAACAAUUAAAGAAAAUUUUCAAUAAUCCAUGUACAAAACUAACAAUCUUACAAAAUUCUUUACAACCCAUAAAAAAAUUCUAUAACAAUGAAAACAAUCUAAAAACGAAAAAUGAUUCAACGUUUUAUGAAGAUGGUCUCAUUUUAGUCCAAUAUGAUAUUGAGUUGGUUAGAAGAGAAUUAAUUGAUCAAAUAAAAUU
rnacentral:lncRNA from 1 species